UACGUAGGGGGCGAGCGUUGUCCGAAGUUACUGGGCGUAAAGCGCGCGUAGGCGGUCAUUUAAGUCUGAGGUGAAAGGUUCAGCGCUCAACGUGAACAGUGCCUUGGAUACUGGGUGACUUGAGUUCGGGAGGGGGCAGUGGAAUUCCAGGUGUAGCGGUGAAAUGCGUAGAUAUCCGGAGGAACACCGAUGGCGAAGGCAGCUUCCUGGCCCACAACUGACGCUGAGGUGCGAAAGCGUGGGGAGCGAACGGG
rnacentral:rRNA from 1 species